rnacentral:lncRNA from 1 species
UCAAAUCCGGUCCUACUCAUUAUCUAAAUUCAUUUGUAGUACUGUAUGUAUAUUUUUCUAGUCAAUACUAAUUAACAGAAGUGUCCGUUCGGUUCAUUCAAAAUCGAGGCCCCAACGAAUUCAUGAGCCAUUCUCAAAACUGACCCGGCUCGAGUCCAUCGAGCCGUUCUAUUUCUGUCCAAUUUUUUUUGAACAUACCA